UACGUAGGGUGCAAGCGUUAAUCGGAAUUACUGGGCGUAAAGCGUGCGCAGGCGGUUCUAUAAGACAGAUGUGAAAUCCCCGGGCUCAACCUGGGAACUGCAUUUGUGACUGUAGAGCUGGAGUACGGUAGAGGGGGAUGGAAUUCCGCGUGUAGCAGUGAAAUGCGUAGAUAUGCGGAGGAACACCGAUGGCGAAGGCACUUUACUGGGCUAUUACUAACACUCAGAGACGAAAGCUAGGGUAGCAAAUGGG
rnacentral:rRNA from 1 species